GGGCUACCAGCCCACCUUUAUAGGCCAGACUGAUGGCUCUAUCAGCCGCAGAUGAGUCAGGCAAAAUGCUCCUCUGGUGAAUUCCAGAACGCCACGCAGCAGAGUAGGGAAAGAAAAGAGAUGACUGAGUUAACGCGGUAAUAGGGUGAAGGAAUAGAUAUCAGGGAGAGGGAUGGAGAGGAACGAGGAGGAGAGGGAAUGGAAAAAAAGCAGUAAGGGAGUGAAGGGGAAAGGCAGGACAGAGAGUGAGAGAUAGUGUGAGAUUGAGAGGGAGAGAGAGUGAUGGUAAGAGAGAGAGCGGGAGGGAUGUGAGAGAGGGAGCCAAAGUGGGAGAGAGAGAUGGUGAGAGGGUGCAUUGCUCAUGUGGAUUCUAAUCAAUUGUGGACGUUAAGGGCUCAGCGACAGUCAGAGAGAUUGAAGUCCUUCACUCCUUCACUGGAGGCGGCCAACGUCAGCGCUGGACUGACAAAUGGGAGGCACGACGCUCUGCCUUCAGGCACAGCGUUUCAACUGGUAUCUCAUCAUGGCGGAAGUAGCUAAGCCCCUGAUUGGUGUUGAUUUCCUGUGGACAUGGGGAUGUGAAGAACCGCCGACUGGUGGAUGCUAAAAUGUUAUAUCCUUUACCUGCAUGCUCAGCAUCUUCCCCACAAGGUCACUGUCCCAUGCACACGUGGCCCACAAUGAGUUUACUCUACCAGUUCCCGGACUUAACAAAGCCUCUUUCUGCCACCCCAGAGACCAGGCACGGGCUGGAGCCCAUGCUCAUGUCCGCCACCUUGACCCGGAGAAGUUUGCUGUGGCAAAAGCUUUUGCAAGCAUGGAGAACCUUGGAAUAAUCUGCGGGUCCAACAGCUCGUGGUACACACAUGGUCCUGAAGACAAAGGGGGCAGCGCCGCCUUGGGUACUACCGCCUUCUCAAUGACGCCACUACCCCUGACAAGUAUCCGGUCCCGCACAUACAGGACUGGGAUGGACAUAUUCUCCAAAGUGGAUUUGGUCCAGAUCUUCAAUCAUGGGCCUGUGCGCCCAGAAUACAUCCAUAAGAGAGCUGUUUUCAUCCCCUUUAGACUGUUCUAGUCCCUGCGCAUGCCUUUCGAGUUUAAAACACCGCCCAAGCUUUCCAGCGCCUAAUGGACUCCCUUUUUUCUUCAUCUAUUUUGGAUGACAUCCUCAUUGCCAGCACCUCCAAGCCAUGUCAAAGGUCUCCGAGCCGUGGUCUGCCCGCCAGCAGCGGCACCUGGCCUUCAUAUCUGUGUCCACUUCAGAAGCCCAGCAUGUAGCAGGGAGGUGCAACGUUGUGGCAGACUGUCUCUCCGGACCCAUCAUAGACCCUGACAAAAGUUCAUUAUACUGAGCUCUUGAAAGGUUACCAGAUGAGUAUACUGUUGAGCUUGUAUCUUGUGUGUGUGUGUGUGUGUCAUGAAUCACAAAUUAAGGUUUCAGUAAUCGACAAAACAAUAUUCUAGUGCAUAUACAAAGGAUUGGAAAUGGAUAGGAGUCAAACUUAGACUGUGCCAGCAAGUUAAGCAUUUUAGUAGUAUCGGCACCUCUGUCAACAUGCCUGUGGGUUCUUCUGGUGUGCUGACAGAUAAUGAAUGGAAAUGGAGCACAUUAUAAUGCAAUCCUGAGUUUAGAUGGAGUGUAAUGGAGCAUUUCCACCGGCAAAAGUGGGCGUUAUCUGGUCUGAGCAGUAUUGAGCCGUACUCAUCAGAAUCGUAAAUUCCGUGCAACAGGGGGAUAAUAACAAACACACGCAGUCCUUGAUUGCACGUGUCCAAACUAGUUUCUACACAGUCUAGCAAUCCUUCUGGGACUUUGUAUAGCAACAGUCCCCACAAUGACCAAAUAAUUGCAAUACAAAGACCAUAUUCUACGCUAGCAACAUUGUUUCUCCUAUGAGGUAGCUAACCGAAAGCGCUAAUAUUAGCCAUGCUUCCAUUUACCUGGUGCAAACAGUCUCUCCCGACAGCGAAGCCUGCUCUCCGAUUUACAAAAUGCCAAAUAAAACACGACAGAAACUGUAUUUCGCUACGAUACUUGAUUCAACAAACACCACUAAAAAAUUUGAUGAGUUUCAUAUUUCUGAAAAAAAACUUUUGGGGGUGUUUUUUUAAUGCACAUAGCCAGCCAUUUUGAAGCAGGCCAGGGCAAUUCGAAAUUAGCAAAAUACUCGAGACAGGACCAAUAUUCAAAAUUUCGGUGUUAACCACUCUAUUUCACCCCAUACAAACCAGAAAGUGGGCUCAAUGUUCAAAAUACCAGAAUUGUCCUAUAAGUACAAGUUAAAAAUGAAAGCUAUAACACAUAACAGCUCUUCUUAUGUAGUUACAAAAAUAUUGCCAGCUGAUCAUGGCCUCUGUGGAAUGUAGAGCGAGAGUACACUAGUGAUGGGUCGUUUGCAACCGAAUCAGUUCGAAUGAGCGAAUCUUUAACAAGAACGAACCGACCUGAUUCUUCUGUCUCGUUCAUUCUCAGACUCAACUCCUCCCAGGCCCUCUAGUUCUCGUUCACUGACUGUGAGUGGUGAAGAGGGACCGUCAGCCAAUGGUAUGCUGUUCUAGGACUGAGUCUGGGAUGCUCUUGUUUAUCACCUUAGAAAAAAAACACAAAUGGGCUUAGUGAGCGAGCGUAUGAUAAUACGAUUAAAUAUCAGUGAAAUGGUAAAUGCAUGCUGUCUUUGUACUUUCUGUGUCAUGCCAGAUAAAUAAAAUAUUUGAAUGUCUCGUCAA